rnacentral:rRNA from 1 species
AUUGAACGCUGGCGGCGGGCCUAACACAUGCAAGUCGAACGGCGCGGCGGACGGGGGGGUAAGGCCUAGGGAUCUGCCUGGUAGUGGGGGAUAACGUCCGGAAACGGGCGCUAAUACCGCAUACUUUCAGGUGAGACUAGGUCGGCUUAGCUAGUUGGUGGGGUAAAGGCCUACCAAGGCGACGAUCCGUAACUGGUCUGAGAGGAGGAUCAGUCACACUGGAACUGAGACACGGUCCAGACUCCUACGGGAGGCAGCAGUGGGGAAUAUUGGACAAUGGGCGAAAGCCUGAUCGAGCCAUGCCGCGUGUGUGAAGAAGGUCUUCGGAUUGUAAAGCACUUUAAGUUGGGAGGCGUUACCAACAGAAUAAGCACCGGCUAACUUCGUGCCAGCAGCCGCGGUAAUUC